rnacentral:rRNA from 1 species
AUUGAACGCUGGCGGCAUGCCUUACACAUGCAAGUCGAACGGUAACAGAUCUUCGGAUGCUGACGAGUGGCGAACGGGUGAGUAAUACAUCGGAACGUGCCUAGUAGUGGGGGAUAACUACUCGAAAGAGUGGCUAAUACCGCAUGAGAUCUACGGAUGAAAGCAGGGGAUCGCGAGACCUUGCGCUACUAAAGCGGCCGAUGGCAGAUUAGGGAGUUGGUGGGAUAAAAGCUUACCAAGCCGACGAUCUGUAGCUGGUCUGAGAGGACGAUCAGCCACACUGGGACUGAGACACGGCCCAGACUCCUACGGGAGGCAGCAGUGGGGAAUUUUGGACAAUGGGCGCAAGCCUGAUCCAGCAAUGCCGCGUGCAGGAUGAGGGCCUUCGGGUUGUAAACUGCUUUUGUACGGAACGAAAAGCCCUGGGUUAAUACCCUGGGGUCAUGACGGUACCGUAAGAAUAAGCACCGGCUAACUACGUGCCAGCAGCCGCCGUAACAC